CAGGCGCGAAACCUUUACAAUGCACGCAAGUGUGAUAAGGGGAUCCUAAGUGCUCAUGCAUUAGUAUGGGCUUUUUUCAAGAGUAAAUAUCUUGGAGAAUAAGUGGUGGGUAAGACUGGUGCCAGCAGCCGCGGUAACACCAGCGCCACGAGUAGCAACCGCGUUUAUUGGGCUAAAGCGUCCGUAGCCGGUCGGAUAAAUCUUUUGUGAAAUCGUCAGGCUUAACUUGACGGCGUGCAGAAGACACUAUUCGACUUGAGACCGGGAGGGGUCAGAGGUAUUCCUGAGGGAGCGGUAAAAUGUGAUAUUCUCAGGAGGAUCACCUAUGGCGAAGGCAUCUGACCAGAACGGUUCUGACGGUGAGGGACGAAGGCUGGGGGAGCGAUCCGGAUUAGAUACCCGAGUAGUCCCAGCAGUAAACUCUGUGAGCUAGAUGUUGCAUAUCCUUGAGGAUGUGCAGUGUCGAAACGAAGGUGUUAAGCUCACCGCCUGGGAAGUACGGUCGCAAGACUGAAACUUUAAGGAAUUGGCGGGGGAGCACACAAGGGGUGCGGCGUGCGGUUUAAUCUGACUCAACGCAGAGAACCUUACUAGAAGCGACGGCAGGAAGAAGGUCUGGCUGAAGACUAUACCUGACGAGCCGAGAGGUAGUGCAUGGCCGUCGUCAGCUCGUGCUGUAAAGUGUCCAGUUAAGUCUGGCAACGAGCGAGACCCCUACC
rnacentral:rRNA from 1 species